rnacentral:rRNA from 1 species
UACGAAGGGGGCUAGCGUUGUUCGGAAUUACUGGGCGUAAAGCGCACGUAGGCGGAUUGUUAAGUUAGGGGUGAAAUCCCAGGGCUCAACCCUGGAACUGCCUUUAAUACUGGCAAUCUCGAGUCCGAGAGAGGUGAGUGGAAUUCCGAGUGUAGAGGUGAAAUUCGUAGAUAUUCGGAGGAACACCAGUGGCGAAGGCGGCUCACUGGCUCGGUACUGACGCUGAGGUGCGAAAGCGUGGGGAGCAA